UCGGGCCACACCGCUUGUUCUGAGGCCCCUAGCAGGUCGGGCUUGUGCUGGCUGCACAUUGGCUGGUGAGCUUGGCGGGUCUGUGGGCACGGAGAGACCAGAACGUGCGUAACAGGCCCGAUGAGGGUGCCAGGCUGUGGCGACCCCCGAGCUUCAGAGGAGAGGGGCACCAGCCGGGGGCCCUGCACAGGCAGCCUCAGGUGCGAGGAGCUGGAGCCCAGGCCAGCUGGGGAGGGGUGGGGUGCCGUGGCUGGAAGUUGCUGUUCUCAGACCUGGUUCUGAGACCCUCUCCAACUGCAUGGGGGGGUCCAGGCUGGACCCCAGAUGUGACGGUGUAUGUGCUGGGAUGGGAGCCCCCUGAGAGCAGGGCUUUUGUUAAUUCACCGGCAAUCCCACAUGUCUGGCACGAGAUAGGUGCUCAGUCAGUGAAAACCACACACGGGGUCCUCCAUUGUGUCCAGGGGAGGGUGGGCCCUGCUCACAGCCAGACUCCUAGCCCUGGGCAGCCCUGCUGCCUGCCUGCUCCUUCCACUCCUACCACCUGCCCAGGUGGGACUCUGCCUGCCUUCCUGUCCCCAGUGCUCUGUAGGAGUUUGACCACAGGUAUCCUCUUCAUCAGAGAGAGGAAAGCUCACGAUCUGGGAGAACUCCAGGCCUGGCCCAGUGAAGACGUCCUUAUCUUCAGCAGACAUUGCCCAGUGCAAGGGGAGGUCAGUCUCAGGAGACAGUCUCCUGGACAGUGGCGUGGCAUCUGUCCUAAGGCCUUGCCUGCAGCACAGGGUGCCACAGAGGUCCCCUGUGACAGAGCCUCAUGGCUGGGGCAGGCGGGGGUCGCACCUGCUCCUGCAUGAAGAGGCAGAUAAAGACCCACAGCAUGGUCUCUGGGGUCCCACAUCCCAGGUAGAGAAUGACCCAGGUCGCUGGCGUCUGUGCCAUCUCUGCUCCACUGACCACUCAUGGGGGUCCUGGAGAUCCUGACACCGGUGGCCGGGGAGCAGCAGCCCAGGCACAGGCCCCAGUGCACAUGCAGAUCCCACCGUGUCUGCACAAGGCCUUGCCCCAACGAGGCCUGGGUGCCGUGUGAGGGCCGGGACGCUAACACAGCGGAGGGUACCCACGCGUGAGCUGCUCUGGGGUCCCUCCCCGUGUUUCUUCCUGUAAUGAAACUUGUACCCAAAUGGGAUAUGCAGGGUUGCACUGUGCAGUCGCUGUGUGUUUUAGGGUCUCAUACCCGUGUGCGCCAGCAGGACCACAGCUGUGACCGGCUGCUCCAGAAGAAGUGGGUGGGUUGAGACCCCACCGGCAGGGUCACUGGGGGUAGCAGGCCCUCUGUCAGCACUGACUUCUGUAUCAUGUCAGGGAUUUUUAGGGCGGCAAGCUCAGGUGGACAGGCAGUUUUAUUCUGUUUCCCAUGUCAAGUCCAGCCCCAGACUGACUUUCUGAGGUCACAGACGGAGCCUCACCCCAUCCAAGGCGGUGUCCUGGACUCCCACUGUGCUCCCCAGAGGGCAGGGUACCUGGGGCCCAGCCCGGGCGGCAGGAGGGACUCAGCCCCUCGCCCAGGCAGGAAGGGUCCCAAGCAGAGGCCCCUCCCUCAGGCACUCCCCAGCCCACACCUGCAGCACUGGGACCAAGACUAAUAAAACACCAGCCUCACGGAAGACAGCUUUAUCUUGUUGAUCGGAAGUCUGCCAGCCCAAUUUAUGAUGGAACAUAAGAUCUCUAAAUCUGAAUUUACGCUCUGUAGCGUAACGAGAGGUCAAUAAGAUUAAACGGGGGCUCAGGAGAGGACCAGCGUCAGGCUCACUGCGAGGUGCUGCACAGAAAACCCACAGCCAGAGCCCCUGGGCCCAGCCCAGGCAAGACCAGAAAAGGAGGGGGCAGGUGGGAGACCAGCCUGGGGCUCCCGGGAAGCCCACGGGAUGGAGGCGGGAGAGCCAGGAGGCCUGGGGCAACCCUGGGACGGUUCCUGGAUCGAGGAGAGCAGGGGGGUGAUGAGGGUUCCCUCAGGGCUGGGGAGCCUUCUCCUGGUCUCAGACCCACCCCCCUUCAGCUCCCAAGCCCUGGGUGCCCCUGGCUCUGAGGACAGUUGGGAAUCUUCCCUGAGGCAGGUUCAAGGACAGAGCUCUGACCCUGGCCCAGGGCUGCUUUGGGUGCCUAUGAACUCGGCUUCUGGCUCAGAGCAGUUCCCUGCACCCCUUCCUGAGCCCUCUGUCCUCUGGAACCCGUGGGCAGGGUGAGGGACGGGUGUUCCUUCUGGGUGGGGGCCUGGGCGCCCAGCCAGCACGACGCUGGCUUGCUGAGCUUAGGGCAGACCCCGACUUCAGAAUUUAUACAAAUAAAUGCAAUGAAAAGUGCUGGCAACCUGA
rnacentral:lncRNA from 1 species